CAAAAUCUAACGUAAAAAAUAUCCCUCGUAUAACUCAAAAAUCAUUCUCAAAAUUUCAAGACAAAUAGAAUUCAAAUGAAGGGGAAAACUUACCUUAAGCUCGUGGGUUCUCCCAUGAUUAACAGUGAGCUUUCACUUUCCUUUCCUUUUCUUUUAUUGGUUUUCUCCUUCUUUCUUCCUUCCUCUCUCUUCUUCUUACAAUUUAGGAAGAUUUUCCUCAAGGAAAAAUUCCAAAUUCCUUUAAUUUCCCUCACCUUUCUUGGGUAUGCACCCUUUUCCUCUCUUUUUUCCUCUU
rnacentral:lncRNA from 1 species